UGAUUAGCUUGUUGGUAGGGUAACGGCCUACCAAGGCUACGAUCAGUAGGGGUUCUGAGAGGAUUAACCCCCACACUGGUACUGAGACACGGACCAGACUCCUACGGGAGGCAGCAGUGAGGAAUAUUGGUCAAUGGGCGGAAGCCUGAACCAGCCAUCCCGCGUGAAGGAAGACAGCCUUACGGGUUGUAAACUUCUUUUCUGUCAGAAGAAUAAGCUUGUCGAGACGAGUGAUGCCGGUAUGACAGGAAUAAGCAUCGGCUAACUCCGUGCCAGCAGCCGCGGUAAUACGGAGGAUGCAAGCGUUAUCCGGAUUUAUUGGGUUUAAAGGGUGCGCAGGUUGUUUGAUAAGUCAGUGGUGAAAGUCUGUCGCUUAACGGUAGGAUUGCCAUUGAUACUGUUGGACUUGAAUAUGGAUGAGGUAGGCGGAAUGUGUAGUGUAGCGGUGAAAUGCAUAGAUAUUACACAGAACACCGAUUGCGAAGGCAGCUUACUAAUCCAUCAUUGACGCUGAGGCACGAAAGCGUGGGGAUCAAACAGGAUUAGAUACCCUGGUAGUCCACGCCGUAAACGAUGAUCACUCGCUGUUUGCGAUAUACAGUAAGCGGCUAAGCGAAAGCGUUAAG
rnacentral:rRNA from 1 species